ACCUCUAGCCAGGGACGCGCGCUCGGUCCCCCGCCGUGCGCCCCCGGUCCCGCGCCCAGGCUCCCGCCCCUGGCCUCCUUACCAGCCACUUGUCGCCCAGCUGCGAACUGGAGCGGGAGGCGGCGGCCGGAGGGCCCAGGACAGCCCCGGGAGGGCGGCGAGGCGGAGCAGGAGCGCCCCGGCUCCGGCCACAUUCUCAGAGUCAGGAAAAGGGGCGAGAGGCCACAUGUCUCCCUCUCGCCCAACUGAAAACGAAACGGCGCUCCAGCAGAUUGGGUGGAAAGAGCUGGGUCUCUUUUCUCUGUUUUUCACGCUAGAAAGGGCUUGUAAACAUUGUUCCUUUUAAAAUGACCUACCCCAGGCAUUUGUUUGGGCACACUUCUGUCCUGGGGUCAUCGUUCCUAGGUGGCUUCGGACCUGGGACUUUUCCUGUAUCUGCACAUUGUCGUUUUAUACACAAUUGCCAAGGUGGGACUGCUUUCAACUUUACUGUGCUUGAAGCUGCAAAGGUUCUGCCCUGAUGUUUCCUGGAAUAAUGCUGAGGACUGCCUUUCGGGUAGCCGCCCUAUUCAGUUCACUUCAUCUCGGAAAUACCUGACCCCUGCCUUGGAUCCAGCGGCCCUCCUGAGAGCUGAGGAAGGAGGAAAUCCUAUGUGUCUGCUCCCGGAGCUGCCACAACCCAUCUUCCCACAACUCGGAACUUGGAAAAAGGAACCCAGGACACGACUUUGCUUUUCUUUUGGACCUAGUUGAUACAAGUUAACAGGAUAUGCUUCUGGCCUGUUUCUGGAUUCUAAGGGUAGAACCAGCAUAAAACUAGUCAGUCCAAGUAUUUCUAAAGAUCCACAGACACAGUUCUCCUGGAUUUGGGAAGCCUAGAGAUAUUAGCACAAUAAUUAAGGCCCAAAGGCAGCACAUAAGAGAGGGAAAGCCAUGCGCGUGGAGUCCAGCACAUCACCCAGAAGGCAGAUGUUCUAUCUCCAUUUUACUCAUUAAAACAAACAAAACCACACCUGGAUUGCCUGCAACUUUUAAAAGCCUUUCCACUGCACAGUGAAAGAAAACCACAAACUCCUUGUUUAAUAAGUGGGAUCACGUGCUUUUAACACGAGGAAAAGGUCAAUCUGAAGCAACUGAUAUGGAACUGCCAGAGUAGGAGUUGAAAAUCUUCCUAAACUGCUGGAGGAUACACCUCUGAUAGCUUGAGACAAAUAUCCUCUUGAUCAUUGUUUCACCAUAUUUGUCUUUGCUCAUGGAGAACCAUUUUGAUCCGUGGUUUAGCCUCCCAGGUGAUUGAACAAUACCGGUGAUCUGAGGCAGACCCUCUGUGACGGAUAACAGAAAAGAAAAUUGAGGAUCAGAAAAUACGCACAAUUUGCAAAAACCAUGGGAAAGAAUAUUGAUUGAACAUCUACUCAAGAACUGCAAAACAGAGAUUACCUGACCUAAAGAUGAAUCCAGGAUUCGGUGGUGCCUGUUCCAGGAACCUUUAGUGUGAAGGAUCCUCCAGGUGAGAGAAGCCUUUAUGUCUUCUGAAAUGGUUCUGCUGUGUCCCCACCCAAAUCUUGUAUUGAAGCUCCCAUAAUUCCCGCGUGCUGUGGGAGGGACCCAGUGGGAGAUAAUUGAAUCAUGGAGGCAGUUUCCCCCAUACUGUUCUUGUGGUAGUGAAUAAAUCUCACCAGAUCUGAUGAUUUUAUAAGAGGUUUCCCCUUUCACUUGGCUCU
rnacentral:lncRNA from 1 species